rnacentral:tRNA from 2 species
GGGCCCAUAGCUCAGCGGUAGAGCGGUUCCCUUUUAAGGAAAAGGUCACAGGUUCGAUCCCUGUUGGGCUCA